CGGGGCGUAGCGCAGCCUGGUAGCGCACUUGCUUCGGGAGCAAGGGGUCCCGAGUUCAAAUCUCGGCGCCCCGACCA
rnacentral:tRNA from 1 species